GAUGAACGCUGGCGGCGUGCCUAAUACAUGCAAGUCGAGCGAACGGACGAGAAGCUUGCUUCUUGGUUGUUAGCGGCGGACGGGUGAGUAACACGUGGAUAACCUACCUAUAAGUCUGGGAUAACUUCGGGAAACCGGAGCUAAUACCGGAUAAUAUUUUGAACCGCAUGGUGCAAAAGUGAAAGACGGUCUUGCUGUCACUUAUAGAUGGAUCCGCGCUGCAUUAGCUAGUUGGUAAGGUAACGGCUUACUAAGGCAAGAAUGCAUAUACGACCUGAGAGAGUGGUCGGCCACACUGGGCUUGAGACUCGGUCCAGGGUCCUAGGGGACGCAGCAGUAGGGGAUCUUGCGCAAUGGGCAGAAGCCUGACAGAACGAGCCCACGUGAGUGAUAAAGGUCAUCCGAUCGUAAAACUCUGUUAUGAGGGAAGAACCUCUGUGUAAGUAACUGUGCACAUAUUGACGGUACCUAAUCAAAAAGCCACGGCUAACUACGUG
rnacentral:rRNA from 1 species